CAGCUAGUGCACCCUGCUCCUUGUCUUUGGAAAGACCUGGGGAUCCAGGGAAACCCUUGGAAGAGUACAUGGGGCUUUCGUGGCCUGAUCUGCUGUUGCCAGGUGUGGUGUAAGCUGGUGAGACCCUGUCUUGGUGCCAUGUUCAGCUCAGACUCUCUGUUCCUCAGGGUUAUGGUAACCCAGCAUACACAAGCUCAGAGGGAAGGCAGAUGUGAAGGCACUGGCACGUCUUCCCUCCUAACAACAGAAAAUGCUGAAGUGUUAGACACCGAGGAUGAAUCACCCAGAGGUGCAGCUUUCCUGCACUGACUUGUAAAAGCCAGCAACAAGCUGAAUUGGAGGCCAGCCACAAGCAGCCCAAAUGGAGGUGAGGUAAGUAUCACUGAAGGAAGAAUAAUCUUCAGGGCAGAUGUGCUCAAUAAAGUUAAAGAAAAGACCCUUUGAGAGAAAUAUUUCAUCAAGGUGUUUCCAACACGGACUAUACAUGUUAUCCUUGCUGUGCUGUUCCUGGAAAUAAUCUGUGCUCCUCUUGCUUUAUUCAUGCAGUGGAUGCAUUUGUUCAGGAAAAAACAGUAAAAGUGUUUACUGAAAUGUUUUCUAUUUCCUAAUGGACAGUUUUAUUUUAAACUUACAGUUUAUUUAUUUAUUUUGCGAAAUGCCAUCAGUUUGAAACACUAGGAAAGACCCCUUCCUCAGACACAAGAGGGAUCUGUAGAAACUUCUGUAUAAAAAAUUGUAGCAAAAUUUUCUAAAACAGUAUUUUCAUAGUUAAGGAAAGGAUAGCAAAAACUCUAGUACUUUUUUUGUGGCCUCUGUUCACUGAAACAGAUAACAGGCAAAUAAAAGGGAUACAUCUCAUUGAACUUCAACUGUCUGGAGUUAUGUCCCUGAUCCUAACUUAUUUAGUUUCUAGGAUCCUUUUGUGAUGCCUUGACUGAUCUCAGACUUUUAAAAACGUUCCUAGAUAAAUAGAAAUAUAUUAUUCUUAGGCAUCCAAACCCAAUGACUGUGUUUUCAAAAUGCAGCUGAGUGCUGAAUUACACACUAGCCUGGGUAUUUAUUCCCUGCAAAGAAUGUAUGUUGUAUGUUGGACUCUGAUGACCAAAUUUCCAAAUGGAAACUGGAAAAUGACUAUGUAAUCAAUCAGGUUUUGGAGGCUGAAGGAACUCAGGGAAAAGCUGAUGGAAAGAUUAACACUAAUAUAUAUCAUCUAUUUGUCCUUCCACCUAUAUUAAAUUUUCAUAAUUAUAUUGGUCAGAUAUUGGUAAACAGCAAGAAGGUAGAUGACCCUUCUGAAAAAGAACACAUGAAACUUAAGAGAAACACAAUCUUAGCAAUUCGUUUUGAUGUUAAGAUGUUUGUCUGUCCGUUAUUUUAUUUCACUAGAACUAACAUAAGGGGAGUUUCUCCAAAUCAUACUGCUAAGUUUAGUGAACUUUAAAGCAGGGUUACUUUAUGCAAAAAUUAAUUCUACUUGUUUGUUCUAUCUGGCUGUUUUACAAGUGCUUUGCCCUACGGACUCACUUUGUUUGUACUAGUUUCCGAGAUUUAUUUAGAGACUGAUUUUUUGUGUUCCUGACUCACACAAAAUUGAAGAAACAACAAACUAGUUUUAACAGAGUUUGUAAGAAUUUUGCUAAUGUGAAGAAUAAAGACUGUUCUGUUAACC
rnacentral:lncRNA from 7 species